rnacentral:rRNA from 1 species
UGGGGAAUUUUGGACAAUGGGCGAAAGCCUGAUCCAGCAAUGCCGCGUGUGUGAAGAAGGCCUUCGGGUUGUAAAGCACUUUUGUCCGGAAAGAAAUCCUUGGCUCUAAUACAGUCGGGGGAUGACGGUACCGGAAGAAUAAGCACCGGCUAACUACGUGCCAGCAGCCGCGGUAAUACGUAGGGUGCAAGCGUUAAUCGGAAUUACUGGGCGUAAAGCGUGCGCAGGCGGUUUGCUAAGACCGAUGUGAAAUCCCCGGGCUCAACCUGGGAACUGCAUUGGUGACUGGCAGGCUAGAGUAUGGCAGAGGGGGGUAGAAUUCCACGUGUAGCAGUGAAAUGCGUAGAGAUGUGGAGGAAUACCGAUGGCGAAGGCAGCCCCCUGGGCAAUACUGACGCUCAUGCACGAAAGCGUGGGGAGCAAACAGGAUUAGAUACCCUGGUAGUCCACGCCCUAAACGAUGUCAACUAGUUGUUGGGAUCAUUCCUUAGUAACGUAGCUAACGCGUGAAGUUGACCGCCUGGGGAGUACGGUCGCAAGAUUAAAACUUAAAUGAAUUGACGGGGUCAUAGCUGUUUCCU